rnacentral:misc_RNA from 1 species
AGCCAGUUGAAACAGAAUAACCAUUGCUUUCAAGGAUCUUAACUAAAUUAGCAGACUUGCCAUCUCCUCCAACUAUGUAUAAAACCUUUAAAGUAUGGGAGCACAGUGAAUCUUCAAAAGUAUCAUGCAGAAUUUGGAGGCCCUUCGAAAGUUUUUCUUCUUCAGAAAAGCAAACAUCUAUGGUUUGGACAAUGCAUGCACUUUGACUGCAAAUGGAAUCACUGAGACACAAUCUCUGAAUUGGUCCUGAGAGAAGAUUUUGCAUAGCCGGAACACAAGCAUAACUAAAGAAAUUGUUGAAAACCACAGUGUUAGGAUUCC